AUUGACGGGGACCCGCACAAGCGGUGGAGCAUGUGGUUUAAUUCGAAGCAACGCGAAGAACCUUACCAAAUCUUGACAUCCUUUGACCGCUCUAGAGAUAGAGUCUUCCCCUUCGGGGGACAAAGUGACAGGUGGUGCAUGGUUGUCGUCAGCUCGUGUCGUGAGAUGUUGGGUUAAGUCCCGCAACGAGCGCAACCCUUAAGCUUAGUUGCCAUCAUUAAGUUGGGCACUCUAAGUUGACUGCCGGUGACAAACCGGAGGAAGGUGGGGAUGACGUCAAAUCAUCAUGCCCCUUAUGAUUUGGGCUACACACGUGCUACAAUGGACAAUACAAAGGGCAGCUAAACCGCGAGGUCAAGCAAAUCCCAUAAAGUUGUUCUCAGUUCGGAUUGUAGUCUGCAACUCGACUACAUGAAGCUGGAAUCGCUAGUAAUCGUAGAUCAGCAUGCUACGGUGAAUACGUUCCCGGGUCUUGUACACACCGCCCGUCACACCACGAGAGUUUGUAACACCCGAAGCCGG
rnacentral:rRNA from 1 species